rnacentral:lncRNA from 1 species
CUCAUCUCCAAAUAUGGCUGGGCCAAGACUUUCACACAGGGCUCAGGGACACGAUUUGGGUCCUGAGGCAAGCGAGGGACCUCAGUGGGGGAACCCCAUCCCAUCCUAGAGCCCACUACAGUGGGUCCUCUUCUGAAAAUCAGAAUUUCACGUUUAUUUCAAGCUAAUUUGUCAUAACCCCCUACUUGACCUAAUUAUAAUGUAUUUUUCUGUGUUUUCCUAUUGGAUUGUUACAUAACUGGGGGCAGGAUCCGCUUUAUAGCUGUCUCACUUUAAGAACAGAACUCAGCAUGUGAUGGUCAAUAAAUAUCAUGGCCUUGCUCUAGACGCCUGGAGAAGGAGAUGCUGGUGACUACUCUGCUGGCAAAAGCCAUGUCCCAGAUGGCAUCUGGAGCAAGCACAGUUCCAGGGAACAGGACAUCUGGACGCAGAGGUGGACCUGGAUGGGAGACUGCUAGCCAAGGAAGGCGGCUGGGGUAGAUCCUCCACGAGGCCUCAAAAAGAAGCAGACCCAGCUCUGGACUUCAGACCCCCAAAUGGAACUACAGACUUCUGCCAAAGCCACACUGCCUGUGGAACUCUGCUCUUGCACAAUCCAGGCCCCCAACAUCUCCUCCUGUGUUAUUCUGGCCAUGGAGCAACAGAAGAUGCAGCUGUCCUAGAGAAGCUCUGGACCUGAGCAUGAAGUGUGGGCACCUCUUGGCUCUUUGUCUCCUGCUGGGUACGCCCUUUGUCUGAGGGGAGCAGCGUUCCUGUGACCUCAGCCAGGGAACAACUGUGAUCCAUGGCAGAGGCUACAUCAGCAAACAUGGACCAGCUCCUGGCUAGGAUGGAAGUGAGCCAGCCCCUGAGCAACGUGUGAAUUGUCUUCUGAUUUAUGAUAAUUGUCAACAAAAGCAAAAACACAGACAAUUUUAACUCUGCGGUAGCUAUGAAGUAACUGGCAUGAAAUUAUGUUUUUUUCUUUUAAUAAAAGGGAGGGGUCCUAAAGUCUCCAUGGCCUGUGCACAGUGGUCUUGUUCACCCAGACGCCCCUCGGCCCUCUGUGGCCACACCCACCUGACAAG